rnacentral:rRNA from 1 species
UUGCCUACGGGGCGCAGCAGUGGGGGAUAUUGCACAAUGGAGGAAACUCUGACGCAGCAACGCCGCGUGAAGGAAGACGGUUUUCGGAUUGUAAACUUCUAUCAAUAGGGAAGAAAGAAAUGACGGUACCUAAAUAAGAAGCCCCGGCUAACUACGUGCCAGCAGCCGCGGUAAUACGUAGGGGGCAAGCGUUAUCCGGAAUUACUGGGUGUAAAGGGAGAGUAGGCGGCAAGGUAAGCGAUAUGUGAAAGCCUUAAGCUUAACUUAAGGAUGGCAUAACGAACUAUCUAGCUAGAGUACAGGAG